CAACAAGCCCACUGUGACCCUGACUCAGUGCAGGCCAAAAGGAAGAGAAUCCCUUCCUAUAGGCAGCAGGUUUUGCACUCUUCCUUUCCUUGCAAUCAUUGUGAGGCGCCUGGCAAAACUAGCUGUGACCACUAACUACAAGUCCCAGUGGAUUCAUUCCUUCGUUCUCGCAACAAAAUUAGAACUGAACUUGUAGUAGUUGACAGGCACUGCACCAAUGCAACUGAGAGAGAAUGAAAUCUGCUGCAUGCAAACAAUUCCCAACAGAGCUAAAACUCUGCACUGAUCAUGGACGAGGAAAGGUUGGGCAGCUGCCUUUAGACAAGGCUGCCAUGUCACUGCCCAUUCAAAGGGCACUACUGUAAAGCAAUGGGUUUGAAUUAUAUUAUUUCACAGCAAGGUGCCAUCCAUUCCUCCUCGCACUGCAAUUUUAUAUCCCAAAAAUAGAGUGGCCUUCACAGCCCUCCCACAGUGUAGCUCUCACACCACCACAAACACAGCUCG